UGACCUAUGAUGAUGUGCAUAUCAAUGUCACUAGGGAAGAGUGGACAUUGCUGGAUCCUUUUCAGAAGAAUCUCUACAAAGAUGUGAUGAUUGAGAACUACAAAAACCUCACUAUUAUAGGAUACAGUUGGGAAAAUCAUAAUAUUGAAGCACAUUUUCAAAAUCCUAGAAGACAUGUAAGGCAUGAAAGAAGUCAAACUGGAGAGAAGAAACCUUUCAUAUAUACUAAAUGUCAUAAAACCCUUGUAUAUGAGAGUCAUCUUCAAAGUCAUGAAAGUGCACCUAUGGGACAGAAACGCUUUCAAUGAAAUCAGUGUGUUAAAGCCUUUGCCAAACACAGUACUCUUUAAAUAAAUAAAAGAGUCCAUACUGGAGAGAAAUCCUAUGAAUUAAUCAAUGUGGUAAAGCUUUUGCAUAUCACCAAACUCUUCAAAUGCAUGAAAGAACACAUACUGGACAUAAACCCAAUGAAUAUAAUCAAUGUAGUAAAGCCUUUGUACAUCACAAACACCUUUAAAUACAUAAAAGAAGUCAUUCUGGAGAGAAACCCUAUGAAUGUAAUCAGUGUGGUAAAACCUUUGCACAAUAUGCUCAUUUUCAAAGUCAUAAAAGAACACAUACAGCAGAGAAAUCCUAUGAAUGAAAGGAAUGUGGUAAAGCCUUUGCAUGAUUUAGUCAUCGUCAAAGGCAUAAAAGAACACAUACUGGAGAGAAACCCUAUAUAUGUAAUCAGUGUGGUAAAGCCUUUGUACAAUAUGGUCAUCUUUGGUGUUAUAAAAAAACACAUACUGGAGAGAAACUCUAUGAAUGUAAUCAAUGUGGUAAAGCCUUUGCACAACACGGUCAUCUUCAAGUACACAAAAGACCACAUACAAAAGAGAAACCCUAUGAAUGUAAUCAAUAUG